AUGACUUCUCACCGGGCUCAAUUAGUGUGCUGUCAAAUUUCUAAAGGAAAAAAAAAAAAGAUGAUGUUAAAAUUUCCUGAGUGGCUCCUGAGCGUCUCCUUUUAUAUUCUUUUUUUUUUUUUUUUAAUUUUUAUUUAUGAUAGUCACACAGAGAGAGUGAGAGAGGCAGAGACACAGGCAGAGGGAGAAGCAGGCUCCAUGCACCGGGAGCCCGACGUGGGAUUCGAUUCCGGGUCUCCAGGAUCGCGCCCUGGGCCAAAGGCAGGCGCCAAACCGCUGCGCCACCCAGGGAUCCCCACACGAAUUCUCUUAACAACUGUCUGCCAACCUUUAUUCCCAGAGUAAUAGUGAAGCAUCACUACAUUGUAUGUUCGCAGUGCUUGGUAGUUCACCGAAACUUCUACAUCCUUUAUUCACGUUGCUCAAUGCUGGAGUGUUAGGUAGUUCAUUCUGUGCAAUGCUGGUCAUGAGAUGCAAGCAUCAAGUUCUACCCAGAUUUGGGGGUUAUAAAUCCACGACUUGUCCCAGUGUUCUGCUUUGCUCUGCCACCAACUGCCAUCCUAUUUCUAUGCAAUUCAAAAAUCUUCCCAAGGAGUCUAUGAGUUCUCACAUCAAAUUGGAUCCUUGGGAUUGAAGGCCUUUAUUACAUUUCUUCUCAGAAUAUUUACAUCUCCCACUGUGCUUCAGCAUUGGUAAGCCUCACCCCUUCACUACCACCUCAGAAUGCUACCCAGAUAAAUGUUCUUACUCCUUAUCCUUGCCAAUUCCCAUCUUGCCUUCCUUUCAGACAACUUCCAAGCCUUAGUCCUCUGUGAUACUGUCCACAACAACUGUAGGUCAUGCUGACACCUCCUCUAAGAAUUUGUGUCUCUUAGCAUUUACAUUUUAUUCCAAACUAGUUAGCACUUUUACCUAUUUCCUUAGCAUUUCAAUGCUGGCAAUGCCUAUUACUUUUAUUCUCUGAACCAGAUUAUAGUAUCUUUGCAGUAAGGAUCUUAUCAUAUAU
rnacentral:lncRNA from 1 species